rnacentral:lncRNA from 1 species
GCACGGCCAUGGCAUUUUUGUAAAUAAACCAUCCACUUAAUCAAACGGCCGCGUUUUGGGCGCUGGAAAGAAAUGUUUUCAUUGGCUGGCAUGGGGAAACAGUAACAUGCGUACGUGAUGUUCCAAUUUUCUGGGCGUGGCUUGAAGAUUUCUAGGGUUUCUGGGCACAGUAUGCAUGUUCAUCAUUCCAAAUUCGAGCUCAUCAAAAUUUUUCCAGAAUUCUCAAUUGAACACACACAAAUGAUCAUCAAGGCAUGGCAAACACGAAUCCAUCAUCACUUUUCA